GACGAACGCUGGCGGCGUGCUUAACACAUGCAAGUCGAACGGAAAGGCCCUGCUUUUGUGGGGUGCUCGAGUGGCGAACGGGUGAGUAACACGUGAGUAACCUGCCCUUGACUUUGGGAUAACUUCAGGAAACUGGGGCUAAUACCGGAUAGGAGCUCCUGCUGCAUGGUGGGGGUUGGAAAGUUUCGGCGGUUGGGGAUGGACUCGCGGCUUAUCAGCUUGUUGGUGGGGUAGUGGCUUACCAAGGCUUUGACGGGUAGCCGGCCUGAGAGGGUGACCGGACACAUUGGGACUGAGAUACGGACCAGACUGCAACGGGAGGCAGCAGUGGGGAAUAUUGCACAAUGGGCGGAAGCCUGAUGCAGCAACGCCGCGUGCGGGAUGACGGCCUUCGGGUUGUAAACCGCUUUCGCCUGUGACGAAGCGGGAGUGACGGUAAUGGGUAAAGAAGCACCGGCUAACUACGUG
rnacentral:rRNA from 1 species